AGAGUUUGAUCCUGGCUCAGAUUGAACGCUGGCGGCAUGCCUUACACAUGCAAGUCGAACGGCAGCGCGGACUUCGGUCUGGCGGCGAGUGGCGAACGGGUGAGUAAUACAUCGGAACGUACCCUGUUGUGGGGGAUAACUAGUCGAAAGAUUAGCUAAUACCGCAUACGACCUGAGGGUGAAAGUGGGGGACCGCAAGGCCUCACGCAGCAGGAGCGGCCGAUGUCUGAUUAGCUAGUUGGUGGGGUAAAGGCCCACCAAGGCGACGAUCAGUAGCUGGUCUGAGAGGACGAUCAGCCACACUGGGACUGAGACACGGCCCAGACUCCUACGGGAGGCAGCAGUGGGGAAUUUUGGACAAUGGGGGCAACCCUGAUCCAGCAAUGCCGCGUGUGUGAAGAAGGCCUUCGGGUUGUAAAGCACUUUUGUCCGGAAAGAAAUCGCGCUGGUUAAUACCUGGCGUGGAUGACGGUACCGGAAGAAUAAGCACCGGCUAACUACGUGCCAGCAGCCGCGGUAAUACGUAGGGUGCGAGCGUUAAUCGGAAUUACUGGGCGUAAAGCGUGCGCAGGCGGUUUUGUAAGACAGGCGUGAAAUCCCCGGGCUUAACCUGGGAAUUGCGCUUGUGACUGCAAGGCUAGAGUGCGUCAGAGGGGGGUAGAAUUCCACGUGUAGCAGUGAAAUGCGUAGAGAUGUGGAGGAAUACCGAUGGCGAAGGCAGCCCCCUGGGACGUGACUGACGCUCAUGC
rnacentral:rRNA from 1 species